rnacentral:rRNA from 1 species
CUGAUCGGCCACGCCGCGUGAGUGAGACGGAUUUCGGGUGUAAAGCUCUUUCUGAGGGAAGAAGGUGACGGUACCUGACUAAGAAGCGCCGGCUAACUACGAGCCCGCCGCCGCGGUUACGUGCCAGCCGCCGCGGUAAU